rnacentral:sRNA from 1 species
GACCGCUGUGCACAUUGCAUAGCUGAGGCCAGACGGACAGCCGGGUCGAAUGCCGA